AGAGAAGGGCCAUCGGUCCUGUCUGGGUUGCCCUGUCAUUUCCAUUGUCCACAAUAGUAAUCCUCUUACAGGGAUGACAUCAAACUGUUCUCCUUCCUCCUCCGGGGCCAUCUUCUUCCUACUGGCUUGCAAAGAGUGUCAAGGUUGUUAUGUGAUGGAGAGGCCCUUUAUAACUAAGUUCCCCAACAUUCUGGAAAACAGAAGAGCUGGACCUGUAUGUGUUUUUUGCUUUGGGUCAGGUGUGACUCAGUUUCUUUUAAAUAGAAAGGUUCCAUCCUUAAUCUAGCACUUUCAUCAGGUAUCAGAAUGGCUUUGCAUGACCAUGCCAUUGUCAGUUGGCUCAGGGGAAAUAAUUCAUUAGCUCUCGUGGGAUUGUUUUGUCAGUUGAAGCUUCACGAAGCAGUACAAUGCAACCCUACGAACAAGGUUCCUGGGUGCCAGGCAUGCUCUAGGAGCUUUGCAUGCAUUAAUUAAUGUUGCCCUCUCAGCCCUGUAAAGUAGAUGCUAUUAAUAGCCCCAUUUUAAAGAUGAGGAAAUAGAGAGGUUAAGUAACUUGUCUGAGAUCUCACGGUAUGUGGCAAGGCUGGGAAUCAGAGACCCAGGUGGUCUAGACAUGCUUCUGCUUUUUAAACAGAGAUGGCCAACGUUCUUUUCUAGGUUUUUCUACUUUUUUAGGGGGUGCUUGUUCUGAGUUUUCAUCCUAGUCUCCUUUCCCCAUUCAACUUACAGAGUCCUCUUACAUGGGUAGUAAUUGUAUUUACCUUCCACUGUGAGACUUCUCCCUGCAACCAGCGUCUAUGCUGGGAAUGGGGAAGGGGGUGUUUCCUAGAAAGUGGCAGAAGGAAGAGAACACAGGUUUGUUUGUUUGUUUGUUUUCUGGUCAAUGGAAACUGACCUGACAGACAUUUAUCCUCCACAGAAGUGCAGAGAGAAGAACUUUUUACUCUUAUAUACAGUCGAUGGGUAGUUCUUUAUGACCAAUUGCCCACAUUUAGAGAUGUUCAUCCCAAACUGUGGUGUCUCUCUAGGUCUUCGGGGUCAGUCGGAUUAGGCAGUUUCUUUAAUGGCCACAGAUACCAAAUACAUAUACCAAAUGGGUGGAUACCACCCUUUCCAGGUAACUCUUGAGGACUAGAGAGCCCAGUGGCCCUCCAUAAUGAGCUAUAAUAUCAAAGUUUUUGGCUCCUGGAUUAGAAGAAAGGCCUUCUUGAUUCUUUUUUUGUUUCUGUCUUGUUUUGUUUGUUUUUUUUGGAGAAGAAAAAAGAAGGGAGUCCCAAACCUGCUCACCUCCUACAAAAAGAGUAAGAAAAAAAGUAAGAGAACUUACUGGCUGAGAUGUUUUCUCCAGGUACUACUAGUAUGUCGGCCUUGACUGCUGUGUUGUUCCAGAGAGAGAGAAGGGAGUGCUGAGGGGUGGGGAGAGAGAGAGGAGAAUCGAGAAAAUGUAUUCAGAAAUUUUGCUGCUGUGAUGCCUUUUUAAGAUGUUUAGAAUGUAGGUGGUGGCCUGUGGCUUAAAAGCAUCACCUAGGAAAACCCUCCAGAUCCUAUGCUCCAACCUGAAAGGAUAAUUACAGCAAACCUUUCAAUGUUGCCACACAGGGUUGUUCCCAUUUGAACUGGGUGCGUGGGUUGUUCCCAUGAAGCUUGUGAAUCAUGCUUGAACACACUGACCAGAUAUUUCUAGCCAGCCCCAUAUCCAGAGGAUUCAUUUCCUAUAAAAGACAUUUGAUCACAGUGUUGAAACAAUGCAUUCCAGGUUAGCUUGCCCCGAGACUAACCCAUGGCUGUGUCAUAGGUGCUGAUUGCCUCAGCCUAGAAAUUAGUCCUAAUCUAACACGAACCUAUUCUCUUCUCUUUGGAGACACUUUCUUUUUCUCUUGAAUUUUAAUCUCUCCCCCUUCUCGCAUUUAAAGUGUAUGUUUGCUUUUAAAAUGUGUUUUUAUUAUUAAUUUCUUUUUCUCUUGAUUUUUAAUCUCUCCCCCUUCUCGCAUUUAAAGUGUAUGUUUGCUUUUAAAAUGUGUUUUUGUUAUUAAAACUUUAAUUUUAAAUCAAAAUGGACAGAAAUAGAAUAGAAACUUACUCAGCUAAGGGGGUCAUUUCUGUCUAGAGUAAGAUAAUUUUCUUCAUUGUUUGAAAAGUGGAAAUUAUGGGAAUUAAUAGCAACAUAGAGUAAUUAUCUUCUAAAGAACAUUAAGAUCUCACUGAUACCAUCUAAUUGCCUUUAAAAGACACUGGCAAGGUGAGAUGGAGGGGGUUGAAAGACUUUUUUUGGUGUCAAUUCCUAUUUACAGAGGAAUAGAGAGCUUUCUAGAGAAAGCUAGACAUGAUAAGUAAUGUCAGAGCUUUUUUUUUUUUUGAGACGGAGUUUUGCUCUUGUUACCCAGGCUGGAGUGCAAUGGCGCGAUCUCGGCUCACCACAACCUCCACCUCCUGGGUUCAGGCAAUUCUCCUGCCUCAGCCUCCUGAGUAGCUGGGAUUACAGGCAUGCGCCACCAUGCCCAGUUAAUUUUUUUGUAUUUUUAGUAGAGAUGGGGUUUCACCAUGUUGACCAGGAUGGUCUUGAUCUCUUGACCUCAUGAUCCACCAGCCUCCCGAAGUGCUGGGAUUACAGGCAUGAGCCACCGCGCCUGGCCCUGUCAGAGCUUUUAAGAGACACUAAGGACAUGAGCUCUGAAGAGUCCAUGGUGAGUGCCUAGAGUCUAAGCACAGAGAAUCAAGAGGUACUUCUGAGGGUCAGAACUUGGGGUCGCUGUCUUGGGGUCAAGUGUUGUUUGCAUUAGGCCUCAGUCCACAGCUGUUCACCACAGAAGUGCCAGAUAACGAGGGGAGUGAGGAGCAGAAGAAAGGGUACUGGUCUUCUUGUUGACCACAUGCCAUGAAGAAGUUACCAUUCUCUCUGUGCCCAGAUUCUUCAUCUCUGACAUUAAAAAGACUACUAGCUGCCAUCCAAUACCUUCCUCAUUCAAAAAUUCACAUAUUCUGUGCAUUUCUGGAUGAGGGGUAAAAAUUCCUCGGAUGGUUUCUCACUGGAGCUGUGAUGAGUGAGCUGGAGAAGGGUACUUUGAAGAGUUGGAAAGCAAGCUUUUGCUACUGCAGAUUAUUUCUGUUCUUGUAUCAGGUUCGAUUUGACCUUCCUAAGGAAAUAAAAGUACUUACAAUUCAAUCUCAUUAUUGUGUGGCGUGGAUGAGUCAGUUAAGUUUUCUGCCCAGCAGUUUCCUCAUCUGUGAAAUGGGGCUAUUCAUAGUAUCUACUUCAUGAUGGGAUUGUGAGGAUUAAAUGAGUUGAUGAUAUUUAUUAAAUUAUUGACCACGAUUGAUUAGCUCUGUUUUAUAAACGGGCAAAUAGACAUGAAGAGGGGGACUCUCUAAGUGUGGUUGUCUAUCAAGCUAUGUCUGAAUCUAAGAGCCUAGAAUAAGGAAUCAAGUCAUUCAGAUCUUUAAGCCAAGAGUCUCUUGUCAAUGAUAAAGCAGUGCCAUGUGUGUACCUACGCAACUGUCUUGCAUGCUCUGCUCAUGUACCCCAAAACCUAUAAUCCAAUAAAAAAUUAAAAAAAAAAAAAAAAAAAAAGCAGUGUCUUUCAAUGCAGUGCACACACUUGAGACUUUUGUUAAAAAUUGGGUUCCCAGGUCCCACACCUGGAGAUGCAAACACAAGAGACCUGGGUAAGGCCCAAUAAUCCAAAUGAUAUAGAGAGUGUAGGCUGUGUGCUGAGGGCAGGUGAUGGGGGACAGUUGAGGGGUGAAAGCAAAGGGAAAGGGGGAAGCGUGGUUACCUCCAUAUUUUGAAGAGUUUAAACUAGCUAUGAUAUAAAGUGAGUCAACAAGAAGAAAAGAAAAAAAAUCUAGAAAAAUAUAUCUAAAAUAUCUCCCUUUAAAAAACAAUUCUGGGGUACAUGUGCAGAUCGUGCAGGAUUGUUGCUUGGGUAUACACAUGCCAUGGUGGUUUGCUGCAUCCAUUCCUCAUCAUCUACAUUAAGUAUCUCUCCUAAUGUUAUCCCUCCCCAAUACCCCCACCGCCUGCUAUCCCUCCCCUAGCCCUUCCACCCUGCAAUAGGCCUGGGUGUGUGAUGUUCCCCUCCCUGUUUAAGAAAUAUAAUUAUGGACCCUCGGAGUGAAAAGCAGAGAAGUAAGAUUUGACCUCAGACUCUAGAGACCAUGUUGUGUUUCCUGAUUCAUGUUUGUCUUUCGAGCUGUGCUAAAAUUAUAGUUUCCCUCCCUGCAAGCCCCUUUUCUGCUCCAGCUGCUGACUUAAUGCUGAACUAUGUCAUAAAACCUUGAACUCCCUUUGGGGCUGUAAAGGAUACUUACUUAGCCUCCCAGUUAAAAAUCCAGAUUUCCUAUUGCCUUUAAAAGGUUUGACCACAUGCAUACAACCAGAAAAUGGUUUUACAUUCUCUUAUACAAAGAAGACACUUAAAAAAAAACGCUGCAAGCCUUCAAGUGGCUAACUUCCCUUUUUACUGUGCAGUUUAUAAUCACGAUUUUUUUUUUUUUGAGAUUGAGUUUUGCUCUUGUUCCCCAGGCUGGAAUGCAAUGGGAGGAUCUUAGCUCACCCAACCUCUGCCUCCUGGGUUCAAGCGAUUCUCCUGCCUCAGCCUCCCGAGUGACUGGGAUUACAGGAAUACGCCACCAUGCCCAGCCAAUUUUGUAUUUUUAGUAGAGAUGGGGUUUCUCCAUGUUGGUCAGGCUGGUCUCAAACUUCCAAUCUCAGGUGAUCCACUCACCUUGGCCUCCCAGAGUGCUGGGAUUACAGGUGUGAGCCACUGUGCCUGGCCAUAAUCAUGUAUUUUUUUUUUUUAAUCACGAAUGGCAUGGGGGAUAUUUUGCUCUGCAAGGGAGGAAGUCAUUCUGUUUCUAGGAUAAAUUGAGAACGGCACUGCUGCGUCAGCUCAAGGUUAGCUUGAGUCCAGUGAGAUUCCUAAACCCUGAUUUUGUAGCCCAGGACAUGUAUCAGGGUCCACCUGGGCCCAGCACUGAACUAAAAAGAAAGGAAGAAGGGUGGAUGAAAAUGACCCGUCUAGUUUUCAAUUUAGGGAAUAGGAAUGCUCUUCUGCAAAGCACCUUAUGGUUUAUGAGACCCUUUCACCAUCACAGUUCCACUUUAUCCUUACAACCGUGUGAUAGGUAGGGCUUAUGUUGCUAUAUUCCAUUUGCUCAAGGUCAUAUGUGCACGGGCUGGAUUGAGACUCCGUCCCAAAGUUUCUGAAUCCCAGUCCCAUGCUCUUUCCACAUUUUCAUCCUGCAGCCUGAGAUGGUGCUUAGAUAACCACUGACCAGAGAUACCCUGCCCACUCAGAGGAGAGAGAAAUUAUUGAUUAAAAUGAAGUCAUUCCGGGAGUUCUGCAUUCCACUUGGCUAGUUUAAACACUAUUAAAACUCCAAAAUCAUGACUGGAUGGCUAAAUUCAUGAAGAAAGAAUUUAAAAUGAGGGCACACCGGAUCUCUGCCAGCUGAGCCUCCAGGUUAUCAAUCAGACUCUGGAUCUGGGUCAGCAGGGCUGUGUAGCGAGCCUCUGUCUCCGUCAGGAUGCACUCCUGGGAAUCUCUCUACCAUGGAGG